GUGCCCUUAUAAAAAGAGGAAAUUCGGACACACAGAGACAGCAGGGGCGUGCGUGCACACAGAGGAAUGAUUAUGUGAGGACCCAGCAGGAAGGCAAGCCAAGGAGAGAGGCCUCGGAAGAAACCAAAUAUGCUGACACCUUGAUCUUGGACUUCUGGCCUCCAGAAUGUCACUGUAGGGAGAGGGGAAGAGGAUCCAGUAAGCUAUUCCAUAAGCUUCCCAGGUGACAUGCUUUUACACCAGUUACUUCAAAGCAAAAUUAACAGAAGAGAGAUUCUACUGAAAGCAGUAAAUCUGAAGACUCUAUUCCUUCUGCUGGAAGCCUGGCACAACUGGAAGCUGGAAGAAAAACCACAACUGAAUAGGCUGGCACUUACUUUAACAGUCAUUUCCAACCACAGAUUAAUACUAUUACUGGAUUUGACUAACGGCUCUCAAUCAGCCCAACUGUCAUCACUUAAGAACAUGAGAGCCAGUGAAGCCAAAAGGGAAAAUAGAAGCAAAUCCAAAUCAUGGUGUAGUUCUACUGAUUUCUCAUCUUUUGAAUCCAAAAGCACCUCUCUGGAUAUCCUCUACUUGGUUCUCUUACUGAUCUAAUGUAUGGAUCAGGAUUUAAUAGCCUCAUGCUAUGACCAGUGGGAGGCUGAAGUCAGCUGGUAAGGGUUGCCAUGGCCUAAGAGGACAAAAUGCUUGGCUGCCCACGGAGUGCCUCUGUAUCCUGCACCUUGCAGUGUCCUAUAGUAGGGACCCCUCCCUAAUGAGAGAGAAAAAAAGGGAGAGAAGACUUCAAGGUCACCUAGAUAUGCGCCUAAGUGCCUACCUCCUCCAUGACCUUGUAAACGAAGACAGCUUAAUUAAACUGCAUGUUUAUGUGUGUUACCAUACAUGGGAGACAAAGAAAUAGAAAAUGUAUUAAAAAAACUACGCCAUGUGAUGUGGGUCGCUCAGUUCUUUGGGUACGAAUAAAGGUUGCUUC